GGAGCCCAAUGUGAGUCUCAAUUCCAGGACCACGGAAUCAUGACUUGAGAUGAAGGCAGACACCUAACCAACUGAUCCACCCGGGCGCUCCUGAAGGUAUUUUUUAGAAGUGAUUAACAUCAUAUAGCAUGCAGUGAGAACACCAAGGUGUAAUAGUGCUUUGUUCAAGGUCACACAGCUUGUCCCAGGAGGAGAGGCCUGAACCCCAGGACACCUAACUGCAACCUCAUUGCCCCUGGUCUGACCCUGGGGCCCACGCGUGGUCACCAGGGCCUGUGGGACUUCUUGUUUUCAGAGUGUUUGAGCUUCACAGGAUCCUCACAGCCCUCUUAAGAAAGUUCUUGCAUCUUUGAGGUCUGGCUCCCAAGGUGACCCUGGAACGAAAGAGCUGUGUCUGCCUUUCUGCAGAGUUGGUCGGGUUCCACAAGUGUUUACUGAUCACCAAGCUGCUCUCUUCCUCUCCUCCCUAUGCUGGCCCCUGUUUCUGGCCAGGGUCGCUUCAUCCCACUGGGGUACAAGGCUUGAGAUGAUGGAACCAGAGCUGUGCAAGUGGAAACACACUGAUUGCACAGGGAGCAUCUGAUGGUUUUCAUUUUCAAAAAUCUCUCCUGUUGGAAAAGUGUCCCACAGCGUCCUCUGGUCCCCAAUCAUACUGAUUUGUGUUUACCCUUUCAGACUGCCAGAGCCUACUGGAGCUAAUAGAGUUGGUACACGAGCAUAUUUGUCAGAAACGAGAGCUUUUCAAAGCAUGAUCUUGCUUCUCUGUAAGUAAUGUCCUCCUCCGCCCCCCUGGGCAUUUCCCUCAAGACUUCCCACAGGCUUAGGUUCAUCACCCCAGCGAUCCAGAAACUUCAAACUGUCCUUUGGCUCCUCUUUGGGAGACUAGCCAUGAGCUCUGAUGAUGCCGAAUGGAAGAUUCUUUCUCUGGAGCAGGCAGUGGCGUCUGUGCUAAAGGCUCAGGUUAAUUUCAGUGAUAUUUGGAAGCUGUCAUGAUCCGAGCCCUUUGUGAAACCGCACUCAGAAAUGGUUGAUGAUGGUACAAAUCUCAUCUGUAACUUUGAGCUUAAAAUCCACAGCUCUCCUUGGCUGUAUGAUUUGGUAGAGUUUUCUUUUGAGUUUUUAAAAAAUUAUUCAAUCUUGAGAUCAUUGUAGAUACACAUGCAGUUUUAAAGAACAACAUGAGAGCCCCUGUAACUUUUGUAAAGUUCUCCCCAACCGUACCUCUUGCAAAAUUAGAGUACAGUACCCCCCAUCUGAUAUUGACGUAAUGCAGAAGGGGGACAUGCCCCUGGCAGGAGAAGGUGGGUGCUCCUCCUGGCCCCCACGUGGUCUCCACUGACGCCAUGCAGAGGGUUUCAUUCUUUCCUAAUGGCAACAUGGUCCCAGCCUCUCUGACAGCUCCCUGGUGUUGGAUUUGGGGCAACAUGUUACAGCCUGACUGGAAUGGAAUCUGGCCUCCUUACCUAGCCUUUGCUGGCAUAGGUGGCCACAGGGUUUUCUGUGGUGUUUGGCUCUAGAAGAACAGUUAUCGCCUAAACGUCAUCUUUCUAGGCUGCCCCUUUCUUGGCCCUUUGGCUAAGAGAGCAUGCCUUUGCCGGGACUCCUACUAUCUGCAUGGGGGUGGGGGGGGUUGCUGUUCUGGGUUGCCAGGUACAGCAGCCUCAAGUCUGGGAUAUGCGAGGCUGAAAGAAACAAACAGAAAAUCCACUGAACUCAUCGCUGGGUCAUUCAUUCCUCAGGACCUGAGAUCCCUCCCUGGUCUGCCUUUUCCUCUCCACUUUUCAGAGCCUGAUGUAUACUAUCCAGGAGUUUUCAUUGUACUCGAUGGGAGGAGUAGGAAAAAGUACACAGAGUCCAUCUUUUUGGAAGCAAAAGUUCCCAGUGUCUUUUUCUUUUCUGAACAUGAAAUGCCAUCAUCCGUCCUCGGCUGACCUCUUGUCCCACCCUCCUGGGUGCCUGAGGCUCCGAUCACAGCUUCCUGAGACACAGCCUCGCCCCUGCGCUGCAGUCCCUCUGCCCACACCACCACCGCUGCUAAAGAUGAACACCUAGUACAUGCCAGGCACUUUACGUGUAAUGAUUCUGAGUUAAGCACUAUUAUUACAGAGGUGAAGAAACUGAGGCCUGAGGAGAUUAAGCAAUUCCCUCCAGAUCACCCAGCAAGGAAGCUGCAGAGCCUGCGUUUGGACCCAGGCAGCGUGGCUUGGAAGCCCCCUGCCAGCCACUUCCGGUUAACCCAACGUGGGCAUCGGAAUCCCCUGAGGGCUUGAAAGCACGGAUGGCUGGGUCCACCCCCAGAACUUCGGAUUCAGCUGGUCUGGGAUAGGGUUUGAGAAUUUGCAUUUUAAACAAGUUCCUGGGCAAUGCGGAUUCUACUUUCUGGAAAGCAUACUUUGCAAACCAGUAACCUUUCCGCCUUCUUCACCCUAAUUUGCUCUGCUAAUUGCUCCCCUGCCUCUUCGAUUCAGUACAGGUAUGAGCUCACCCGAUUUGACCUCCUCUUCCUUCCGCCCUCAGAUACUCCUUCCAAGCUCCCGUGGCAGUCUCUGUGUAUCUUAAUCAUUGUCUUUGCCGCAUUACAUGGAAAUUAUCUGUUUGUUUCAUUUCCAUUCCCUUGACCCCCCUUGAGGGCAGAGAGGUUAGAGCGGAGCAAAGUAUUUAUUAUUCAUCUUUGUAGAGUCCCCUGGGGUGAUGUUGCAAAGAGAUUCCAGGGCCCAAACCCCUGAGUAAGUAGAUCUGGGGUGGGGCUCUGGAAUCUUCACUUAAAGGACUGACACAAUUCCCAUGCCCUUGGCCUACUUUGAGAUACUGCGCUAGAACUUUGCAUUGUGUUUGGCACUAAGUACUCAAUACAUUCUUUAUUAACUGGAUUUUAUUGAACUGAACUUUGAGGUGAAAUGGUAACCCCCGACCUCCUUUUCUGUGCCAUGUAACCACUGUGAUGGCAAUUCCCGUGCUUUUUCCUCCAAAACCUAAAGGGGAUGUACCUUGUACUACCUCCCCCCCCCCAUUCUUACUUUCUUUCCCUUUCAAUCACAACUCAGGUUCCCGUGCUGCUGCUGCUCUUGGCUUGCUGUUGAGAACACAUGGAAACAUUUAAACACUUUUUGUCAAGGGUCCCCUUUUUAAAAUUUUAAAAAUUUGAGACAUAACUUACCUAGAGUCAAUGCAUACAUCUUAGGUAUUCAGCCUGAUGAACUUUACCUAUGAACACACUUAUGUAGCCAGACUCAGAGCCUGAUGUGGGACAUCAACACUCAGAAGGUCCUCUCUUGACCCCUUCCACUAAACAACCCUCCUCUAGGGCACCCCGGUUCUGACUUCUGUCACCACAAACCGGUUUUGCCUAUUCUUGAACUUCUCAUAGAUGAAAUGAUAUAAUAUGUACCCUUUUGUAUCUGGCUCUUUGUGCUUUGCAUUGUGUAUGUGAGAUGCAUUUAUGUCUUUGUAUCUAGCAUUUUUCACUGCUAUGUUGUAUUUUGUGUUGUGAAUAUAAAACAAUCAGCUAUUCUUAGGUUGGAUACCUUUUCGUUUUUGUUUUUGGUUGCCUCAUUUUUUGUUGUGUUAAAAUACAUAUAACAUAAAUUUUACCAUUUUAACCACUUUUACGUGUACAAUUCCGUGGCAUUAAGUACCUUCACAUUGUUGUAUAACCACCACCACAGUCCAUCUCCAGAACUUUCUUAUCUUCCUAAACAGAAACUCUGUCCCCACUGAACACCAACUACCCAUUUACCUUCUUUUUGCUCCUGGCAACCGCCGUUCUAUUUGUUGUUUCUAUCAAUUUGACUUCUCUAGGUACUUCAUAUAAACAAAAUC